UGAGGCAGGAGAAUUGCUUGAACCCAGGAGGUGGAGGUUGCAGUAAGCCGAGAUCGCGCCACUGCACUCCAGCCUGGGUGACACAGUAAGACUCCAUCUC
rnacentral:miRNA from 1 species